rnacentral:rRNA from 1 species
CGGACGGGUGAGUAACACGUGGAUAACCUACCUAUAAGACUGGGAUAACUUCGGGAAACCGGAGCUAAUACCGGAUAAUAUAUUGAACCGCAUGGUUCAAUGGUGAAAGACGGUCUUGCUGUCACUUAUAGAUGGAUCCGCGCCGCAUUAGCUAGUUGGUAAGGUAACGGCUUACCAAGGCAACGAUGCGUAGCCGACCUGAGAGGGUGAUCGGCCACACUGGAACUGAGACACGGUCCAGACUCCUACGGGAGGCAGCAGGC